rnacentral:rRNA from 1 species
UAGGGAAUCUUCCGCAAUGGGCGAAAGCCUGACGGAGCAACGCCGCGUGAGUGAUGAAGGUCUUCGGAUCGUAAAACUCUGUUAUUAGGGAAGAACAAAUGUGUAAGUAACUAUGCACGUCUUGACGGUACCUAAUCAGAAAGCCACGGCUAACUACGUGCCAGCAGCCGCGGUAAUACGUAGGUGGCAAGCGUUAUCCGGAAUUAUUGGGCGUAAAGCGCGCGUAGGCGGUUUUUUAAGUCUGAUGUGAAAGCCCACGGCUCAACCGUGGAGGGUCAUUGGAAACUGGAAAACUUGAGUGCAGAAGAAGAAAGUGGAAGUCCAUGUGUAGCAGUGAAAUGCGCAGAGAUAUGGAGGAACACCAGUGGCGAAGGCGGCUUUCUGGUCUGUAACUGACGCUGAUGUGCGAAAGCGUGGGGAUCAAACAGG